rnacentral:rRNA from 1 species
ACCUGCGGAAGGAUCAUUACCGAGUGUAGGGUUCCUAGCGAGCCCAACCUCCCACCCGUGUUUACUGUACCUUAGUUGCUUCGGCGGGCCCGCCAUUCAUGGCCGCCGGGGGCUCUCAGCCCCGGGCCCGCGCCCGCCGGAGACACCACGAACUCUGUCUGAUCUAGUGAAGUCUGAGUUGAUUGUAUCGCAAUCAGUUAAAACUUUCAACAAUGGAUCUCUUGGUUCCGGCAUCGAUGAAGAACGCAGCGAAAUGCGAUAACUAGUGUGAAUUGCAGAAUUCCGUGAAUCAUCGAGUCUUUGAACGCACAUUGCGCCCCCUGGUAUUCCGGGGGGCAUGCCUGUCCGAGCGUCAUUGCUGCCCAUCAAGCACGGCUUGUGUGUUGGGUCGUCGUCCCCUCUCCGGGGGGGACGGGCCCCAAAGGCAGCGGCGGCACCGCGUCCGAUCCUCGAGCGUAUGGGGCUUUGUCACCCGCUCUGUAGGCCCGGCCGGCGCUUGCCGAACGCAAAUCAAUCUUUUUCCAGGUUGACCUCGGAUCAGGUAGGGAUACCCGCUGAACUUAAGCAUAUCA